ACGGAGCUCCAAAAAUGUCAAACCUCAUAGAGGCAUGGGGUACAAAAUUUCCAUACCCACCAAAUUUCUCGAAACCCCACCAAUUGACAUUUCCACGAUUUGCGAGAACAAAGUAGUACGUAAAACAAAUAAAACUCGUUGCUGUUAAUCAAGCAAGUAUAGAGAAGUUGAUCAUCACAGAAAGAGAGGCAAGGCCAAGGCAUACACCUUGGUCGAUCAUUCAAAUUGGGAUUAACGAUGAGUUCUGAGGACGAUGAUAUAGAUAGCAAAUCUGCUGUCGGCCGGGAGAUCUUGAUCGCUGCUAUAUUCUCCGUACUUGCCGUAUUGAUUUUUAUCAUCAUCCUCCGUACAUAUGCAAGGUAUCUCUCAAGAAGCCAAGAAAGAACACGGCGUGAUAUCUUGAAUAGGGUAAGUACACUAGCUCAAAUUGCAUCGGUCGACUUGGCGGAUUCUGUCUAUCCACCGGCCGAGACUGCCGGAGGGCUCGAUCCAUUAGUCAUAGCCUCACUACCUAAGUUCACCUACAAAGCAGCUGAUGCCCUCGAUCAAAGUGAAGUUAUAGAGUGCUCAGUUUGCUUGAGCAGCAUAGAAGAGGAGGCCAUGGUUCGGCUUCUACCAAACUGUAAGCACAUGUUUCAUGUGGAGUGCAUCGAUGUUUGGCUCAACUCAAACAAAACUUGCCCCGUCUGCCGCACUGUGGCUGAUCCUAAGGUCCAGCCAGAACGCAAUGACAUAGGUAUUAUUGGGGUUCAACGUCCCACAGCUCCACCAAUAGAGAAUAGUACUAUACCGCAUGGUGCUGCCGAGUUGGAGAAGGCAGGUGGAUCCGGAUCAGGCUCACGAUUAAGCUCUUUUCGUAGGAUGCUUAGUAGGGGGAGAUCGUCGAGGAGGAUUCAGAGUUUUGAAGAUCAUCAUGAAAUGGGUUCGGAAGAUCUAGAAAGACAAUGAUUGCCUCCUAUUGAUAUCACCUUAAUCGAAGAUCAUAAACAAGCUAGUACUAUAGUUUUCUAAUUUCAUCUUUGUAUGCAAUUAAAGAAUGUUGCGAUUGAUGCACGUAGAGGACAUCUGCCUCAUUUUGUGGAAAUUUAUCACUUCAAUCAGACCACUGCAAAGUUAUAGGUCUAAAUAUUGCCCAAUUGCAUCGUAUCUACAAUCAACCGCGAGAGCAAUUCAUGAUGAUAACGGACUUGGGGAUGAAGUUGGGAUCCUCUUCAUGAUGAAACAAGAUUAUAAUCUGACAACCCAUGUGAAUGUCCUCCAAAUUAAGUCGCUUGAUUUCAACAGAAAGUACUGUUAAAUUCCCUUGUAUAAUAUAUUAAUGAAGCUUCACGUGAUGUAAGUUUGACACUCGGCAGAAAGA